UACGUAGGUGGCAAGCGUUGUCCGGAUUUACUGGGCGUAAAGAGCGCGCAGGCGGCCGAGUCAGUCGAAUGUGAAAGCCCCCGGCUCAACUGGGGAGGGUCAUUCGAUACUGCUCGGCUCGAAGAUGGGAGAGGGAAGCGGAAUUUCAGGUGUAGUGGUGAAAUGCGUAGAUAUCUGAAGGAACACCAGUGGCGAAGGCGGCUUUCUGGCCCAUUCUUGACGCUGAGGCGCGAAAGCUAGGGGAGCAAACGGG
rnacentral:rRNA from 1 species